CUGAGGAUACGGUUAACGGAGCGCAAGCGACGUUCAACCGCAAAAGAAGCAGAGGGGGCUUAGUGGUGGGGUGACUGCGUACCUUUUGUAUAAUGGGUCAGCGACUUAUAUUCUGUAGCAAGGUUAACCGUAUAGGGGAGCCGGAGGGAAACCGAGUCUUAAUUGGGCGUUAAGUUGCAGGGUAUAGACCCGAAACCCGGUGAUCUAGCCAUGGGCAGGUUGAAGGUUGGGUAACACUAACUGGAGGACCGAACCGACUAAUGUUGAAAAAUUAGCGGAUGACCUGUGGCUGGGGGUGAAAGGCCAAUCAAACCGGGAGAUAGCUGGUUCUCCCCGAAAGCUAUUUAGGUAGCGCCUCGUGAAUUCAUCUCCGGGGGUAGAGCACUGUUUCGGCUAGGGGGCCAUCCCGGCUUACCAACCCGAUGCAAACUGCGAAUACCGGAGAAUGUUAUCACGGGAGACACACGGCGGGUGCUAACGUCCGUCGUGAAGAGGGAAACAACCCAGACCGCCAGCUAAGGUCCCAAAGUCAUGGUUAAGUGGGAAACGAUGUGGGAAGGCCCAGACAGCCAGGAUGUUGGCUUAGAAGCAGCCAUCAUUUAAAGAAAGCGUAAUAGCUCACUGGUCGAGUCGGCCUGCGCGGAAGAUGUAACGGGGCUAAACCAU
rnacentral:rRNA from 1 species